rnacentral:rRNA from 1 species
UGGGGAAGUAUUGCACAAUGGGGGAAACCCUGAUGCAGCGACGCCGCGUGAGUGAAGAAGUAUUUCGGUAUGUAAAGCUCUGUCAGCAGGGAAGAAAAUGACGGUACCUGACCAAGAAGCCCCGGCUAACUACGUGCC